rnacentral:lncRNA from 1 species
ACGUAACGUCUCUUCUUCAAGUCUUCUCAGAGGUUGGAGAUUCCCUGUCUUCUCCAACCUCUGCCAAGUCUUCAGAGAGGUUGGAGUGCGCCUGUCUGAGGUACUAGACCCCAGAUGAGGAUCUCGGGAAGAUCCACAAAGCUGCGUCCAGGGGAACGAACGUGUGGAAGCUGCAGCGGAGCCUCCUGCUCAAGAGUAAAGGACCGGUCUGAAACCUACAAGAACAGAAGAGCCAUGUGACCGGAUCCCUGGUUUGGCAGAGGAGAAAUGUGAGAAGAUGGAACGUUUUUGCUGAAGAGACCUCUGGCAGAGUGGAAUGGAGAGAAUAGGUGGCAGAGAGAACCUCUGAGAAGCUCGCAGGAUUCACAGAAGGAGAAUCGGGAGAAGAUUGCCUGUUUGCCUGAAGGAAUGGCAAGUUCCAAAGCCAUUCUGUGGGCAGUGUUUAGUUCAUGUCCGCUUUGCCGGUAGGCCGAGUAGCAACAGCUGCAGUUGGUGUGUUCUCUGAAGGCAGUAUCUGAAGGGUGGAGGGGUUGCUUUUCUUCCCAGGUGUCUUUUGAA